rnacentral:rRNA from 1 species
GUAGACCCCGGGUAAGCGUGUAGACGGGUUCCGAUGAGAGUUGGAGCCUUAACGUCGAGACGCGAUGCCGAGCGAUAUACCGCGAAGUCACUGAUUCCAUGCUGCCAAGAAAAGCCCAGCAAUGAGUUGGCACAGUGCCCGUACCCCAUACCGACACAGGUGGGCGGGUAGAGAAUACCAAGGCGAGCGGGAGAACUAUGGUUAAGGAACUCGGCAAAUUACCUCCGUAACUUCGGAAGAAGGAGGACCCUUUUUGGUGAAAGCCUUUACGGCUCGAGCUGAGGAGGGUGGCACAGACAGGGGGUAGCGACUGUUUACCAAAAACACAGCAGCGUGCGAAGCCGCAAGGCGCUGUAUACGCUGUGACGCCUGCCCAAUGCUUGAAGGUCACGGGGAACGGUUAGCUCUUCGGAGCGAAGCUGUGAACCUAAGCCCAAGUGAAUGGCGGCCGUAACUAUAACGGUCCUAAGGUAGCGAAAUUCCUUGUCGGGUAAGUUCCGACCUGCACGAAUGGCGUAACGACUUCCCCACUGUCUCAACCAUAGACCCGGCGAAAUUGAAGUACGAGUAAAGAUGCUCGUUAGCUGCGGAAGGACGAAAAGACCCCGUGGACCUUUACUAUAACUUGGUGUUGAGUUUUGAAUUGCGUUGUGUAGGAUAGGUGGGAGACUUGGAAGCAUUGGCGCCAGCCAGUGUGGAGUCAAUGUUGAAAUACCACCCUGCGUACUUUGGAGCUCUAACCUCGGUCCGUUAUCCGGAUCAGGAACAGCGCCAGGCGGGUAGUUUGACUGGGGCGGUCGCCUCCUAAAGAGUAACGGAGGCGCCCAAAGGUUCCCUCAGGCUGGUUGGCAAUCAGCCGUCGAGUGCAAUGACACAAGGGAGCUUGACUGCGAGACCUACAAGUCGAGCAGGUACGAAAGUAGGGCAUAGUGACCCGGCCAUCACGUGUGGAAGUGUGGUCGCUCAACGGAUAAAAGGUACCCCGGGGAUAACAGGCUAAUCUUCCCCAAGAGUCCAUAUCGACGGGAAGGUUUGGCACCUCGAUGUCGGCUCAUCGCAUCCUGGGGCUGAAGCAGGUCCCAAGGGUUGGGCUGUUCGCCCAUUAAAGCGGUACGCGAGCUGGGUUCAGAACGUCGUGAGACAGUUCGGUCUCUAUCCUCCGCAGCCGAAGGAAUACUGACAACUGCUGUCCUUAGUACGAGAGGACCGGGACGGACGUAGCUCUGGUGUGUCUGUUGUCGCGCCAGCGGCAUCGCAGAUUUGCUACCUACGGAAGGGAUAACCGCUGAAAGCACCUAAGUGGGAAACACGGUUGAAGAUGAGUAUUCCCAUGCGGUUAACGCAGUAAGGCCCGUGACGAGACCAUCACGUUGAUAGCGAGUGUAG